rnacentral:rRNA from 1 species
AUUGAACGCUGGCGGCAGGCCUAACACAUGCAAGUCGAGCGAGCGGCGGACGGGUGAGUAAUGUCUGGGCAUCUGCCUGAUGGAGGGGGAUAACUACUGGAAACGGUAGCUAAUACCGCAUAACAUCAGAUGUGACCAGAUGGGAUUAGCUAGUAGGUGGGGUAAGGGCUCACCUAGGCGACGAUCCCUAGCUGGUAUGAGAGGAUGACCAGCCACACGGGAACUGAGACACGGCCCAGACUCCUACGAGAGGCAUCAGUGGGGAUUAUGGCACAAUGGGCGCAAGCCUGAUUCAGCCAUGCCGCGUGUGUGAAGAAGGCCUUCGGGUUGUAAAGCACUUUCAGCGAGGAGGCGUUACUCGCAGAAGAAGCACCGGCUAACUCCGUGCCAGCCGCCGCGGUAAUAC